rnacentral:rRNA from 1 species
UACGUAGGGUGCAAGCGUUGCUCGGAAUUACUGGGCGUAAAGCGUGCGCAGGCGGUUCGUUGUGUCGGUGGUGAAAUCCCCGGGCUUAACCUGGGAAUGGCCAUGGAAACUGGCGAACUGGAGUGUGGCAGAGGGGGGUGGAAUUCCGCGUGUAGCAGUGAAAUGCGUAGAGAUGCGGAGGAACACCGAUGGCGAAGGCAGCCCCCUGGGCUAACACUGACGCUCAGGCACGAAAGCGUGGGGAGCAAACAGG